GUGCCAGCAGCCGCGGUAAUACGGAGGAUGCAAGCGUUAUCCGGAAUUAUUGGGCGUAAAGCGUCCGCAGGCGGCUUAUUAAGUCUGUUGUCAAAGCCCACAGCUCAACUGUGGAUCGGCAAUGGAAACUGGUGAGCUAGAGUGUGGUAGGGGUAGAGGGAAUUCCCGGUGUAGCGGUGAAAUGCGUAGAUAUCGGGAAGAACACCGGUGGCGAAAGCGCUCUGCUAGGCCGCAACUGACACUGAGGGACGAAAGCUAGGGGAGCGAAUGGGAUUAGAUACCCCAGUAGUCCUAGCCGUAAACGAUGGAUACUAGGCGUGGCUUGUAUCGACCCGAGCCGUGCCGUAGCUAACGCGUUAAGUAUCCCGCCUGGGGAGUACGCACGCAAGUGUG
rnacentral:rRNA from 1 species